CACAAAUGGGUGGAAACUUCUAUCUGUAGAUAUUCUGCCACAAUCAACAUUUUGGGGUUAAAGCCUAGGAAACAAUAGAAUUCGGGAGGGUGGGGGGUGGGACACUGUUUCUUCAUUGGAAGCUGUCUCAGUAUUACCUCAAUCUCAUUUAUUUUCAGUUUCGGGUGUUGAUCUUGGUUGAUCCCCCAAAACAAUCCUGAAGGACAAGUCACAUGCUCCCCUUUCAGAGACGGGAAGCUGAGCCUCAGAGAAGUUCAAUGCUUUGAUGGGGAUUUGCACGAAGUACCUUGUGGAGACGGGGAUGGAACUCAAGUCUUUCUCACUCCGGAACCAGGACAGACAUCCUCUGCCCCCUCCAUCCCUUCCUUGCUUCUUCUUUGCUUCUGUCCCUCUUGUCACCAUCAGAUUGAUGCUAGGCUCUGAAGAUAGGGCAUUCGUAGGGCACGGGGCCUGGGCGCAAGGAAAUCAGGGUCUGAUGGAAGAGAAACAGCCGAAUAGGCUGUCGUGGACGGCAGCUGCGGCAGGGGUGUGUUCUCAUGUCAGUCCUCAGAGGAAGGAACACCUACCUGUCUGGGGAUUCAGGCGAGAAAACUACAAGUCAACAGGGAUUUCAUCUAGAAUGCAUUUGGUUGGAAAUAACAGAAACCCCCUCUCCAGCUGUUAUAAACAACAGCGGGACCUGGAAAGGCGGAGGAAGGCCGGUGGCAGUGGCCCAAGCACAUCUGCAAAGGUGGAGAGCCUACCUCCCAGUGUCCCCACAGGGGUCAAAGAGUCACUCUGAUGGACACCUUGGGUCAACACCUGUCUGUGGACUAAUCACUGCUUCAUUCCCAAUUCUCCACUGCGUUUUUCACUAUCACUCAUUCAUUCAACAAGUAUUUACUGACAGCCUUCUCUGUGGGGCACUUCUCUAUGUGGUGGGAAUACAGUGUUGAACGAAGCCAACACAAUCACUGCCCACGCUGAAUUCACAUACUCUAUGUUGUAUGUCGUACUCAAACUAAUAGACUAAGUAGACAGGAAGAUACAUAAUCGCAUAUAUACAGAAACAUAGCGAUGGCUAUCAUUCGCGGAAACUAACAGCAGGCGUUACUCCAGACGUUUUUAUCUUGUAUUUUAGUUCAACCCUCAAAAUAUUCUUAUAAGUAUUAUUAUCCAAGUAUUUUAGCAUUAAGGAAAAAGAGACACAGAAAGGGAGAAGAACUUACUAAGCUCACAUAGCAAGCAAGUGUGGAGGAUAAAUUUGUAAUUUCUUUUUUUUUUUUGCUGCAUGCACGGCCUUCCAUACAAGGAAAUGGCCUGCUUCUCUUCGCAUGGACUAGGCUUCACAUGCCAAAUGGUGUGCCAACAUAGAAUAAACCGACCUUUUAUUAAUUUCA
rnacentral:lncRNA from 1 species